rnacentral:misc_RNA from 1 species
GAUGAAGAACGCAGCGAAAUGCGAUACUUGGUGUGAAUUGCAGAAUCCCGUGAACCAUCGAGUCUUUGAACGCAAGUUGCGCCCGAAGCCUCGGCUAAGGGCACGUCUGCCUGGGCGUCACGCAUCGCGUCUCCCCCAAACCGCCAAGGCGGAGGGGAAGGAAGAUGGCUUCCCGUGCCUCACCCGGCGCGGUUGGCCUAAAUUUGGAGCCCGCGGCACUUAGCUCUCGCGGCGAUAGGUGGUGAACAAGGCCUUGGCCGUGCAAACAACCCGCUGCGAAGCUCUAUGUCACGUGCGCUCGUCGGACCCUUUGAAGUUGCCUUCGGUGACUUAAAACCUUUGCGACCCCAGGUCAGGCGGGGCUACCCGCUGAAUUUAAGCAUAUCAAUAAGCGGAGGA